GUGCCAGGGGUAAAAAGCAACUAACAAAAUAGACAACAUUUCUGCUAUCUUAAGCUUAUAGUGAAGAGAGAGAAACAAUAAAUAAAAAUAAACACACUGAGACAAAUAAUUCAACUAAGAUAAAUAUUUUAAUCUCCAUUCUGAGGAUGAGAAAACAGAGGCAGAGUAUGAAGUCAUUUGUCUACACUCCAACAGCUGGUAUAUGGCAGACCUGGGAUCCAACAUGUAUCUACAAGAUUCUUUUUAAUACAUUAUGCUGAAUCUCAGAAAACACCCGCCACAGGUGUUGCACAUAUGUGUGAAUUUUCUAUACCUGGAUUACAAACUCUUACGUUAUUGGGAGACUUUUUAUCUGGUGCACAGUUUAAGCGAUCACGGAACACUAAAUACACAUUGUUGAAUAACUGAAGAAUGGACGUGGUAGUCUGAUAAAGGCUCCCAAAGAUAUGUCCCUGUCCUAAUCCUUAGGACCUGUGACUACUGCCUUACAUGGUGAAGUUUUCACAGAUGAGAUUAAGUUAAGGAUCUCAAGAUAAGGAGAUUGUCCUUGAUUAUCAAACUGGGUCCUAAAUGCCCUUGGAAGAGAGAUACCAGUGGACAUAAGGCACAGAAGAGGAGGAGCAAUGUGACCAUGAAGGCAGAGAUUGGAGUGGUGUGGCCACAACUCAAGAAAUGUGAGCAGCCACCAAAAACUGGGAGUCAAGCAGCAGAAGCUCUCCUAGAGCCUUUGUGGGGUGUGUGGGCUGCCAACACCUUGAUUUUGGUGCAGUGAAACUGAUAGCAGACUUCUGGCCUCCAGAACUGUGAGAGAACAAAUUGCUGUUGUUUUUAGACAGCCAAUUUGUUUGUAAUUUGUUACAGCAGCCACAGGAAACUAAUACAAUGGAUUUCCAGCAUAUCAUACAACAGAAGAAAUGUGGUUAGAGCAACACCUACUGGCUGGAGGCUUCCUCUGAAGCACAAGAGAGUAAAAUGUUGGCUAGAGCGCUGACCAUCUCAACUCCUGCUGUGCUCUCAGCCACGCCAGCAAAUUCUGGGAACACAUGUACACAGAAAAUGCCACUGACAAUUUGAAUAUUCUGAUUUGGACUUAUUAGGUAUUCUACUCCAGAAAUAUUUAUGACGAACUAAAUAUAUCUUCAUGUAAACCCUAUGCUAGAGAUUUUUAAACAUUCAAGCAAAGAAAAAUAUCAUCAUUGAUGUCAGAAGUGUGCUACCCACACUGAUGUUAAAAAUUAAAACCUGUAACACGUUUUAAAUCAUAUUAAAGUGUAUGUUACAUAUAGUCUUAAAAACGAGUAGGGGAGGUUUAUUUCUCGGGGAUUCAUAGUAUUGCACAUAUGCAUAAGACUACAUGUAUAUAUGAAGCUGCAGUGAAUUUUGGUGCUACCAAACACAUU
rnacentral:lncRNA from 1 species